rnacentral:rRNA from 1 species
UACGAAGGGGGCUAGCGUUGCUCGGAAUGACUGGGCGUAAAGGGCGCGUAGGUGGUCGGGUAAGUCUGAUGUGAAAUCUCCGAGCUUAACUCGGAAAUGGCAUUGGAUACUAUUCGGCUAGAGGGUUUGAGGGGGGACUGGAAUACUUGGUGUAGCAGUGAAAUGCGUAGAUAUCAAGUGGAACACCAGUGGCGAAGGCGAGUCCCUGGAAAACUCCUGACACUGAGGCACGAAAGCUAGGGGAGCAAACAGG